CGGGGGGGGGCAAGCGUUGUUCGGAAUUACUGGGCGUAAAGGGGGGCGCGUAGGCGGUCCGAGAAGUUUCGGGUGAAAGCCCCCGGGCUCAACCCGGGAAGGUCCCGGAAAACCAUCGGACUUGAGUGCUGGAGAGGCAAGCGGAAUUUCUGGUGUAGCGGUGAAAUGCGUAGAUAUCAGAAGGAACAUCGGAGGCGAAGGCGGCUUGCUGGACAGCAACUGACGCUGAGGCGCGAAAGCCAGGGGAGCGAACGGGAUUAGAUACCCCGGUAGUCCUGGCCGUAAACGAUGGGUACUUGGUGUUGGCAGCGGGAAGGUUGUCAGUGUCGGCGAUAACUCGUUAAGUACCCCGCCUGGGGAGUACGAUCGCAAAGAUUG
rnacentral:rRNA from 1 species